rnacentral:rRNA from 1 species
CCAAGCUCCGAAGGGCGUAUGGGGGAUGUCUGGGCGUCAGGAGGCGAUGAAGGGCGUGGGAGCCUGCGAAAAGCUCGGGGGAGCUGGCAACCAAGCUUUGAUCCCGAGAUUCCCGAAUGAGCCCGUGCUGAAUUCAUAGGCACGGAGCGGUGACACCCGGUGAACUGAAACAUCUCAGUAACCGGAGGAAAAGAAAGCAAAAGCGAUUUCCUUAGUAGCGGCGAGCGAAAGGGAAACAGCCCAAACCGCGGGGGUUUCCCCUGCGGGGUUGUAGGGCCCUCCACAUGGGAGUUACAAAGUGAGCGUUAGCUGAAGGACAUUGGAAAGGUCCACCACAGAGGGUGACAGUCCCGUAGGCGAAAACGUGUCACCUCCCGGAGGGUACCUGAGUAGGUCGGGGCACGUGAAACCCCGACUGAAGCAACGGGGACCAUCCCGUAAGGCUAAAUACUCCCUGACGACCGAUAGUGAACUAAGUAGGGCGACCGAAAGAUGGAAAGAACCCCUGUUAGGGGAGGCAUUGAACCUGAAACCAUACGCCUACAAGCGGUCGGAGCACUAUGGCUGGCUAUUUGGCAACAGGUGGUCAGCAAGGUGUGACGGCGUGCCUUUUGCAUAAUGAUCCGGCGAGUUACUGUCGGCGGCUUGGUUAAGGCCUUCCGGGCCGGAGCCGCAGGGAAACCGAGUCUGAAUAGGGCGAUUGUGUCGCCGGCAGUAGACGCGAACCUGCGUGAUCUACCCAUGGGCAGGGCGAAGCGCGAGUGAUAUCGCGUGGAGGCCCGAACCCACUAGGGUUGAAAACCUAGGGGAUGACCUGUGGGGAGGAGUGAAAGUCUAAUCAAACGCAGAGAUAGCUCGUUCUCUCCGAAAUAGCUUUAGGGCUAGCCUCGAGCCACUACGCACCGGGGGUAGAGAGACUGAAUCGGCAUGGGGGCCUUCGCCGGCUACCCAGCUGAACCAAACUCCGAAUACCGGUGCGACUAUCUCGGGAGUCAGUCCGCGGGGGAUAAGCUCCGCGGUCGAGAGGGAAACAACCCAGACCACUUGCUAAGGUCCCUAAGCUUGGCUAAGUCACAAAGGAAGUUGGGUUGCUGAGACAGCCAGGAUGUUGGCUUAGAAGCAGCCACCAUUUAAAAAGUGCGUAACAGCUUACUGGCCGAGCAACCCAGCGCCGAAAAUGAACGGGAGUAAGCCAGGCACCGAAGCAGUGGAUGAAGUUCAUGACUGCGGUCAUGGGCUUCGUGGUAGGAGAGCGCUGUAGGUCAGACACGAGCCGUACCGCGAGGAACGGUGGAGGGGCCUACAGGUGCUUAUGCCGGAAUGAGUAACGAUAAAGCAGGUGAGAAUCCUGCUCGCCGAAAGCCUAAGGUUUCCUGGGGAAGGUAAUUCCGCCCAGGGUGAGCCGGUACCUAAGUCGAGGCCGAAAGGCGUAGACGAUGGACAGCAGGUCAAGAUUCCUGCGCCACCGCGGUGGACCGAUGGAGGGACGGCGCGCGUAGGGUGAGCGGUACGGAUAGAAAGGUCCGUGGACUGUCGCGAGGCUGGGGAGAGGCAAAUCCGCCCCUCGUGCCAGACGACAGGACCGACCGCGUUCGAUCGGGAAGUCAUCCGAAACGUGUCCAAGAAAAGCUUCUAAGGGUUGAAGCCGUGGUGACCGUACUAAAACUGACACAGGUAGGCGAGACGAGUAGUCUAAGGCGCUCGGGAGAACACUGGUUAAGGAACUCUGCAAAAUGGCCCCGUAACUUCGGGAUAAGGGGUGCCCCUGGGGGUCUGAAGCUUCUGGGGGCCGCAGUGAAUCGGCUCCUGCGACUGUUUAUCAAAAACACAGGUCUCUGCGAACUCGUAAGAGGAGGUAUAGAGACUGACGCCUGCCCGGUGCCGGUAGGUUAAGGAAGACAGUUAGCGGGGGAGCAAUCCUCGGCGAAGCUGGCAACCGAAGCCCCGGUAAACGGCGGCCGUAACUAUGACGGUCCUAAGGUAGCGAAGUUCCUUGUCGGGUAAGUUCCGACCUGCAUGAAAGGCGUAACGACAGGAGCACUGUCUCAACCAGUGACCCGGUGAAAUUGUAGCCGUGGUGAAGAUGCCACGUACCCGCAGCUAGACGGAAAGACCCCGUGAACCUUUACUGUAAGCUGGUAUUGGGCUGAGGCUCGUCCUGUGUAGAAUAGGUGGGAGGCUGUGAAGGUGGGACGCCAGUUCCACUUGAGCCGCAAUGUGAAAUACCACCCUGGGCUUGCUUUAGUUCUAACGCCGGUCCCGUGACCCGGGCGGCGGACAGUGCCAGCCGGGCAGUUUGACUGGGGCGGUCUCCUCCUAAAAAGUAACGGAGGAGUCCAAAGGUACCCUCAGCCUGGUCGGCAAUCAGGCGUUGAGCGCAAAGGUAGAAGGGUGCUUGACUGUGAGACCGAUAGGUCGAGCAGGUACGAAAGUAGGGCUUAGUGAUCCGGUGGUCCCGAAUGGAAGGGCCAUCGCUCAACAGAUAAAAGGUACUCCGGGGAUAACAGGCUAAUCUCCCCCGAGCGUCCAUAGCGGCGGGGAGGUUUGGCACCUCGAUGUCGGCUCAUCACAUCCUGGGGGUGAAGAAGCUCCCAAGGGUUCGGCUGUUCGCCGAUGAAAGUGGUACGUGAGCUGGGUUCAGACCGUCGUGAGACAGGUCGGUCCCUAUCUGCUGUGGGCGCACGAAACUUGAGGAGGGUCCUCCUUAGUACGCAAGGACUUGGAGGGACGUCCCUCUGGUGUUCCAGCUGUCGCGCUAGCGGCACGGCUGGGUAGCUAUGGACGGAAAGGAUAAACGCUGAAAGCAUCUAAGCGUGAAGCCCUCUCCAAGAUCAGGUUUCGUAAGCGGAUUACCGCGAAAGCCCCCUGGAAGACUACCAGGUCGAUAGGCCGGGUGUGUAAACGCAGCAAUGCGUGUAGCUAACCGGUACUAACGGGCGAAAGCUUGGCCAC